GACGAACGCUGGCGGCGUGCCUAACACAUGCAAGUCGAGCGGAGAUCAUAGUAAUAUGAUUUUAGCGGCGGACGGGUGAGUAACGCGUGGGCAACCUACCUUCAACUGGGGGAUAACACAGGGAAACUUGUGCUAAUACCGCAUAACAUCACGAGAUGACAUCAUUUUGUGAUCAAAGGAGCAAUCCGGUAGAAGAUGGGCCCGCGUCCGAUUAGCUAGUUGGUGGUGUAACGGACCACCAAGGCGACGAUCGGUAGCCGAACUGAGAGGUUGAUCGGCCACAUUGGGACUGAGACACGGCCCAGACUCCUACGGGUGGCUG
rnacentral:rRNA from 1 species